CCUACGGGGGGCAGCAGUAGGGAAUAUUGCUCAAUGGGGGCAACCCUGAAGCAGCAACGCCGCGUGGAGGAUGAAGGUUUUAGGAUUGUAAACUCCUUUUGUUAGAGAAGAUUAUGACGGUAUCUAACGAAUAAGCACCGGCUAACUCCGUGCCAGCAGCCGCGGUAAUACGGAGGGUGCAAGCGUUACUCGUAAUCACUGGGCGUAAAGAGUGCGUAGGCGGGGUAAUAAGUCAGAUGUGAAAUCCUGUAGCUUAACUACAGAACUGCAUUUGAAACUGUUACUCUGGAGUGUGGGAGGGGUAGGUGGAAUUCUUGGUGUAGGGGUAAAAUGCGUAGAGAUCAAGAGGAAUACUCAUUGCGAAGGCGACCUGCUGGAACAUUACUGACGCUGAGGCACGAAAGCGUGGGGAGCAAACAGGAUUAGAUACCCGAGUAGUC
rnacentral:rRNA from 1 species